GAACCGUCCAGAUAGCCGCCUUCGCCACUGGUGUUCUUCCCAAUCUCUACGUAUUUCACCACUACACUGGGAAUUCCACUAUCCUCUCCGGUCCUCAAGUCAUCCAGUAUCGAGUGCAUUUCUUGAGUUGAGCUCAAGGCUUUCACACCCGACUUGAACAACCGCCUACACGCGCUUUACGCCCAGUAAUUCCGAACAACGCUAGCCCCCUUCGUCUUACCGCGGCUGCUGGCACGAAGUUAGCCGGGGCUUAUUCUGCGGGUACCGUCAUCAUCGUCCCCGCCAAAAGAGCUUUACAACCCGAAGGCCUUCAUCACUCACGCGGCAUGGCUGGAUCAGGGUUGCCCCCAUUGUCCAAUAUUCCCCACUGCUGCCUCCCGUAGGAGUCUGGGCCGUGUCUCAGUCCCAGUGUGGCUGAUCGUCCUCUCAGACCAGCUACCGAUCGUCGCCUUGGUAGGCCGUUACCCCACCAACUAGCUAAUCGGACGCGGACUCAUCUCUUGGCGAUAAAUCUUUAUCCCGUAGGAACCAUUCGGUAUUAGCCCCAGUUUCCCGGGGUUAUUCCGAACCAAGAGGCAGAUAAUCCACGUGUUACUCACCCGUGCGCCACUCGUGUAUUGCU
rnacentral:rRNA from 1 species